GCCAUAUUGCACUGAAACAUCAGUUCUUAUAUGAUCACUGAAGUUAAGCAAUAUUGAGCUUGGUCAGUGUGUAGAUGGGUGACCACUUGAGAAUACCAGGUGCUGUAUG